rnacentral:rRNA from 1 species
CCUGCGGAAGGAUCAUUAUCGUAAAACAAAGGCCGAUAGGUUGUCGCUGGUCCCCUAGGGACAUGUGCACGUCUUUGGUCGAUAAUCCUUCACACCCCUGUGCACCUCUGCGUGUGGUUCUCUUUUUUCCUCCCUUCCUAUCGAUCCGUUCAUUCGGGUUGUAAGGUUGGAGAAGGGGGGGACCCGCGUCUUAUUAUAAAACACCCUUGUAUGUCUUACGAAUGUCUACUAUGCGAUAAAAAGCAUCUAAUACAACUUUCAACAACGGAUCUCUUGGCUCUCGCAUCGAUGAAGAACGCAGCGAAAUGCGAUAAGUAAUGUGAAUUGCAGAAUUCAGUGAAUCAUCGAAUCUUUGAACGCACCUUGCACCCCUUGGUAUUCCGAGGGGUACGCCUGUUUGAGUGUCGUGAAAUUCUCAACCCCGCCCCCUUUUGCGAGGGGUUUGUCGGUGGCUUGGACUUGGAGGCUUUUUGCCGGGGGAUUCGUUCCUCGGCUCCUCUCGAAGGCAUUAGCAGGACCCUUGCGGCCUCGGUGUGAUAAUUGUCUACGCCGCGGGCUUAGCUCCUCUGGGACCUGCUUACAACCGUCUCGCAAGGGACACUUUCAUCGAAACUGACCUCAGAUCA